CCUACGGGUGGCAGCAGUGAGGAAUAUUGGUCAAUGGGCGCGAGCCUGAACCAGCCAAGUAGCGUGAAGGAUGACUGCCCUACGGGUUGUAAACUUCUUUUAUAAAGGAAUAAAGUGAGGCACGUGUGCCUUUUUGUAUGUAUUUUAUGAAUAAGGAUCGGCUAACUCCGUGCCAGCAGCCGCGGUAAUACGGAGGAUCCGAGCGUUAUCCGGAUUUUUUGGGUUUAAAGGGAGCGUAGAUGGGUUGUUAAGUCAGUUGUGAAAGUUUGCGGCUCAACCGUAAAAUUGCAAUUGAUACUGGUCGCCUUGAGUACAGUUGAGGUAGGCGGAAUUCGUGGUGUAGCGGUGAAAUGCGUAGAUAUAACGAAGAACACCGAUUGCGAAGGCAGCCUACUAAACUGCCACUGACAUUGAUGCGCGAAAGUGUGGGGAUCAAACAGGAUUAGAUACCCGGGUAGUC
rnacentral:rRNA from 1 species